rnacentral:pre_miRNA from 1 species
UAGAUACUCCCUCCGUUCGGAAUUACUUGUCACAAAAAUGGAUGUAUCUACAACUAAAAUACAUCUAGAUACAUUCAUUUCUUGGACGAGUAAUUCCGAACGGAGGAGUACAUC